AGCGAACGCUGGCGGCAGGCCUAACACAUGCAAGUCGCACGAGACCUUCGGGUCUAGUGGCGCACGGGUGCGUAACGCGUGGGAAUCUGCCCUUUGGUUCGGGAUAACAGUUGGAAACGACUGCUAAUACCGGAUGAUGACUUCGGUCCAAAGAUUUAUCGCCCAGGGAUGAGCCCGCGUUGGAUUAGCUAGUUGGUGGGGUAAAGGCCUACCAAGGCGACGAGCCGUAGCUGGUCUGAGAGGAUGAUCAGCCACACUGGGACUGAGACACGGCCCAGACUCCGACGGGAGGCAGCAGUGGGGAAUAUUGGACAAUGGGCGAAAGCCUGAUCCAGCAAUGCCGCGUGAGUGAUGAAGGCCUUAGGGUUGUAAAGCUCUUUUACCCGGGAUGAUAAUGACAGUACCGGGAGAAUAAGCCCCGGCUAACUCCGUGCCAGCAGCCGCGGUAACAC
rnacentral:rRNA from 1 species